rnacentral:rRNA from 1 species
UUAUUUGAAACAGGCUACAACCUACAAUACUGGGUAAAUAUGGAUUUUAAAAAUAAAGUGGGCCUAAGAGCAGCCAUCUUAUAGAAAGCGUUAAAGCUCAACUAUUUUCUUUCCUGAAUCUCAAAAACUAUAUUGAACCCUUUAUCAAUACUGAACUAUUUUAUACUCUUAUAAAAGUCACUAUGCUAGAACUAGUAACAAGAAUUAGCCCUUCUCCAAAAUGCAUACUUAAGCCAAAAUGGACCCCCCAUUGGCAGUUACCGCAAAUGCACCUAUUAUAGUACCUCCCAACUAGACAACUCUAUAACCCUUAGCGUUAACCUGACACCAGAGCAUUACAGGAAAGAUUAAAAGAGAAAGAAGGAAUUCGGCAAAUCUCCGUCCCGCCUGUUUACCAAAAACAUCGCCUCUUGACCAAAUAUAAGAGGUCCAGCCUGCCCACUGACAUAGUUGAACGGCCGCGGUACCCUAACCGUGCGAAGGUAGCAUAAUCACUUGUUCUUUAAAUAAGGACUUGUAUCAACGGCAUCACGAGGACGAUACUGUCUCCUUUCUCCAGUCAGUGAAACUGAUCUCCCCGUGAAGAAGCGGGGAUUGACCU